GCUUUUCAAAUGAAGCUCUUUAGCCAUUCCGAAGGUUAAUUGUUUUGUUUGGAGGAUUGUGAGCAGCAAGAUUUCUAUAGCGGAAGCCUUAGCUAGGAGGAGCAUUUUGAUUGGGGUAGGGAGAUGCCCGAUGGAUUCAUUUGGAGUCAACAAACCAUAUAACUAUUAUAUACAAGGGUCAGUUGAAAUUGAAUCAGUUGGAGUACUUUCAUGCAACGAAAGGUUUACAAGCUACACUUUAUAA
rnacentral:lncRNA from 1 species